GACGAAGGGGGCUAGCGUUGUUCGGAAUUACUGGGCGUAAAGGGCGCGUAGGCGGCGUGUCAAGUCAGGCGUGAAAGCCCCGGGCUCAACCUGGGAACCGCGCUUGAGACUGGCAUGCUCGAGUUCGGGAGAGGAUGGUGGAAUUCCCAGUGUAGAGGUGAAAAUUCGUAGAUAUUGGGAAGAACACCGAUGGCGAAGGCAGCCAUCUGGACCGACACUGACGCUGAGGCGCGAAAGCGUGGGGAGCAAACAGG
rnacentral:rRNA from 1 species